AUCGCGUAAGGAUUAUUAGAAAUAAUCAACUCAAUACCAACAGUUAAUGCACCGUUGAAAUUACCAUGAAAUACGAGGUAGCAGUCUGCACGAUCUUAAAAAAGAAAUUGAUACUUGUUAAAUGUACCAAUUCCAGUUAAAUAACAAGGCUGGAGACUUCUUCGAAUUAUCAAUAAUACUAAUCUGUGUAUUUCAAUUGGUGCCUCGUACCAUUUUCCACUAUACCUGUAUAAUAUAUUAAAACAAAAUGAUUAAUAUCAUAAAUGAAAUAUUUACAGAAUAAGAAAAGAUUAUUGUUGAUUGUAUUACUAACGCUUUAAAACGGACAUCGAUGCUAUAAUCGAUCAAUUUUUGACCAGGAUAGCACAUGCAAAAAAUGUGAACAAUUUGUGCAGCUGUAAAAGCGAUGUAUCUAAACCCUUCGCUAGAUGUUUUAAACACACUUAUUAUCUAUAAAGAUAAUAAAGUAUAAUUGAAUGCAUUGGUAUUAUAUCCAACAACA
rnacentral:lncRNA from 1 species